rnacentral:rRNA from 1 species
AAGAUUUUAAUGAUCGAACAGAUCAAAAUUUUAAACUUUUGCACUUAAAUUUUAUCUUAAUCCAACAUCGAGGUCGCAAACUUUUUUUUUUAUUUGAACUAAAAAAAAAUAUUACGCUGUUAUCCCUAAGGUAAUUUUUUCUUAUAAUCAUUAUUAAUGGAUCAUUUAAUCAUUUAUUUAUGUUUAAUUUUUAAAAAAAGUUAAUUUAAUUUUUCUAUCACCCCAAUAUAAUAAUUAAUUUUAUUUUAAUAAAAAUUUUUAUAUAAUUUUAAAAUAAAAAUAAAUAUAAAACUCUAUAGGGUCUUCUCGUCUUUUAAAAUUAUUUUAGCUUUUUAACUAAAAAAUAAAUUUCUAAAAAUAAAUAAGAGACAGUUUAUAUUUCAUCAAAUCUUUCAUACAAGUUUUCAAUUAAAAAACUAUUGAUUAUGCUACCUUUGUACAGUCAUUAUACUGCAGCCCUUUAAUAUUUAUCAGUGGGCAGAUUAGACUUUAAAUUAUACUCAAAAAG